UGGCUUCAACAGGUCUUACAACCCACUAUUCACUGUGAGUGUUGUUCCCAGUCACUUAUGGUGUUGGUUGUGCUCAUCAACACCUGCGUGUUUGUCAAGGUAUUUUUUGUAUUUUGGGUGAGCCCAUAAAGCUCCAAACACCCGCCUUUUACACCCGCCACCACACGGUGACACUGUUGCAGCACACAGAGAUUAAUGAGCUGAGAGCCCCCCUCACUUUUUAAAGAUAAAUUUCAGAUGUCGGGAUAACGAAACCCAUCUCGUUAUUUGUGUUAACACAACCAAACUCAACGCAUUUUAAUGUCGUAUAAACACGAACUCUAAGACGUCAUUUUUGCGCAAAUGAACACAGGCUAUAUAAUUGACACAGUCAUUGUAAAAAAAACAAAACAAAAAACAAGCAGCAAGAGAAAAACUGCAACCUUGAUGCUAGCUAGCCCUGCUAGCAACAGGAAUCAACAGGCCUGCAUCCUCUCCAGCUAACAGUUAGUGAGCGCCCAUUUUCCACAUUGGGAUAUGUGGCCUAAAGAAUGAACUAAUAACACCAAGAGGAGUCUGGUCUUUAUAAGAGUUACAACAGAUCUGCUCAGUGGCCUGGAGUUUAGUAUAGUGAUGUAGGCAACUGUAUGCUUCAGUGCAGAGGAAAGCAAAGAACAAACACCUUCUUUAUUAAGCAGAACAACACGAGAAUGAGGGCAGAGAGAAGAAGAGAGCUUCAGUCAUGUAAAGCUCAGCAGAAACAGAAGGGAAAAAUCGAGGGGGAUGCAUUCUCUGCUGGAGGGAGAAAUAGGCAGAUGUGCGGUAACAGAUACGAUUAGUGGAGUUUAAUGAGCUCUGCAGAGAUGAGAGUUAUGCUUGCUGCUCUCCUCUUCACAGCUACAGAAUCCCCGGGGUUUGACUCCACCGAAUGAAUGAUGUGUGUUCCCCCAUCUCUGUCUCUUUAUCGUCAGCAUGUAAAUCUUGUAGGUGGGAAGUCGGGUGGCAUUAUGUGCAUUUGCGUACAUGCUUGUAAACAUGCAUAAUAUGUAACCUGUUUAUGUCUAUGGUGUGCCCAUGACCUGUGGUUUAUUCAUGAAUGUUAAAUUCUGUUCUGUGCUGUGUUUUUAUGCGUGCAUGAAAGAAUGCAGAAUAGGGCUGCAAAUAAUACUCGCACUCAAGAAACUGGAACUAGGAAAUAUUUUGGAUUUUUGUUUGAUAUAAGAUUUAAAUGAUUCAUCAUCCAUGAGGUCAUUCUUACUUGUAUGUGUUUGACUGUUUUGCUGCUAAAAUAUUUUGUAUCAUGUAUCACUGUAUAGGACAACAGAUUGUUCAGCCUGUAUUCAUGCAUAUUGUAUGCUUAUUGUGCCUAGUAAUUUGGUUCCUUUUGAUGGCCCGCCUUCAUAUCUCCCACCAGCCUCAACACUCAAAAACCCACAGAGAACCUCUCAAAACACUUCAAACAUCAUCUGAACAAACAUCAGGUGUUGAGCAGUAAUAACAUCACUUAAGACUAUAUAUAAUAUGCUGAAAAUAUCCUUGCAAAGCAAUGGAGAUUCUCUCAUGAGACAUAACCGUGCAUUAAAACAUCACAUUCCUAUCAGGUCAUCUAUUUUCACACUAACAGAUAGCCUUAAACUUGAUGUAUUAAUUUUAAGAUUGUUGUUCUCCUUUUCAUCUUUUAUGCCGUGAAGCCUGGGUAUGUUUCUCACCCAAGUGAUGUGAUUGAUUUUCAUAUAUUUCACAGUGUAAUUAAAUUAAAUGGGAGUGCUGUAAACAACAUUAGACUACUUCGGUUUACAGGCAUUAAGAUUAGCAAAAGGGCUGUACUGUAGUGCUUUAUUGUUAUCAUUAGGGGGCAGUGUUGUAUAGCACUACUACCAUGCGAGAUCAUUUACUCUGUCAAAAUGCUUUUGGAUGCUGCAUUCCCUCAAUUAAAAUCUAUGCCAUAACAUUUUCUGGUUUAUAAACCACUCCACUUAGAUCAGGACUCCUUGCACAGUAGUUGUUUACUGCCCUGUUUUCUUCAGUUACUCCUCAGCAGCAGCUUCAGAGUCAUGGUCUGUGUUGUAGUUCACCCUCUGCUUAAAACGUCUUGUUUCUUUAUUUCUCCUGUCAAAUGCAGUGUUAGAAUAACAUUUUCUGCAUGAAAAUAUGAAUUUCUUACGUGUUUCAAUCAACAAAACCUCUACUUGAUCACGAGCAUAUCUUCAGCUGCUUCUCAGAGCCUAACAAGAGUUCACGAUUGCCUAAAAUAACUCUAUUAUUAUGAUGUUAAUGGUGCCAUUUAUGAUCUCACGCAUGCUUGAAUUAAUUAGUUUUAUCUUUACAGCUCUUAUAUCCCAUCUGUUCCAUUUGCCAGAUGUUUAAAAGGUGCAUAAUUUUAAACUGUGCUUAACUGUGCACACACUAGCACCAAAGGAAUUAGUUUCACCAAUAUGAACACAAAAAGGAGUAUUCCCUGGCUGGAACUGUCUCCUAUUAUGUGGCCAUUGGAUACUUUGAUGCAAACCCGUCUGGAAAAUGUGAUUUUUUUAGAAAAGCAACAAGCCAAAUUGAACUAUUCAGCUUCUUUUUAUUAGAUGUGUCUAUGGCAGAAAACGGUGAGCAAGUUCUUUUCAAAUGAAAUACUGUAUGAAAAAUCAAAAAGGGACCCAUGCACUCUGUCUGAUGAAUAAAAGUUACAAUUUUUAUUUCACACUGGCUAUCGGCAUGUGAAGUUGUUGCCCACAGUCAUUGACGACUGCUGAGGGAAUUAACAAAAAGUUAAUUUAUUUAUACAGACUUUGUUCACAAGAAUGUCUCAAAGGACUUAACAACGAAAGAGAAAAAGUCUGCUUAGAUAUAACUAAUUAAUAAUCAAUCACAGGAAAAGUGAAGCUAUACAUUAUUAUACACAAUAGCAUCUUGGAGAGAUAUAAUAAGUAGGCCUGGGUAUUGUGUAAAGAUUUCAUUACUGGUUCAGAUCAAAGCUCCAGCAAUACCUGUAGUAUUAAGAGCAACUUUAUCAUGAAAAUAAUGGUUCCUUAAUAAAUAAGGUUGUUACUCAAUACUUCAAAUGUAGGUGGAGCUUUGAUACUUGGACUGUCCUUCCCGAUUCACCUUGCAAGUAGGUGAAGUAGUGCCAGAACCCAACUUGAGAGAAUACAUUAGAAUAAGAAAUAUAUGAUGUCAUUCACAAUUUGACCUGAAACAUACACUACUUCCUAACAGAGAGUAAAAUGUCCCUUCUUCCAAAAUCCAUUUUUAGUUCAUGAAGAAGAUUAACAAUAUAAGGUUAUAACUACAACUGCACACUGUUUUACAUACUGCGUACACCUUAUGUGCAGUGUUAAGUGAAGGUUUUCGAUACUUCAGAUCAAAAUGAACAAUUUGGGUGAGUAUGACCUUGUACAGCUCAGUGCAUAGCAGCAAAUGUAAGUCUGACAUCAGAAACCCCAGAAAUGGAUUUUGCCCUUUCAAUCUAUAUUUCUCAACAUUUCUUCAAGAUUUCAUAUGUGCUGCGAACAAUUCCCAUGAAAUGAGCCCCUUUUAUCUCCACUUUAGCCUGACUAUUGCACCUUAUCCUGUUAGGUUUGCUGCAUACAUUCUUUCAACAUUUUUCAUCGGUAGUGAUCUUAUUUCCCCUGGCACCCAGAGUUCUCCCUACUGAACAGGUAAAGGCCUGACAGUGUGCCGCUGUGUGCCGCUCCUCCUCAUUUGUUGUACUGUUCCUGCUGUAUAGGAAUUUGCCUGUACUGGUGAGACAGAUAGAAAAGAGACAGGAAAAGUGCAAGAGCUGAGCUGGAAUGACAAUUUUAUUUUCUUUACAUCCAUUGUAACCUAACUACUGCAUAUGUAUCUUUGUUUUUCGUUCCCUCCUCCACAACUUUGCCCCUUUUUCAUCAGCUUUUGGAUUUGCUGAAGGCAAGCUGCAGGUGAAAUCUAUUUCAGUUUGCAGAUGAAGACACAGAAUGACAGUCCCUGUAGUUUGGUGUAUUUUGCAUCGUUAUCCUUUGGCAGCAAUGUCACUGCAUUACCCCGUCCGUCACAGUUAUAUAGUGGGUUGCUUCGGUAACACAGAAUAUGUGAUUGAAAGUAAAGUUGUAUGUAGUCAAUAUCAGUUAAAACCUGUAAAAAUGUUAUACCAUACUAUAAUGUUUGGUCACAUAGGGCCUAACCUGAGUGAACAGAUCAGGCCACCAAAGCACCAGCUUCUAUUAGUAAUGAUGAAUUAUAAUCUAUAAUUUGAAACCACCACACAACCAUAAUAUCUAUAAUCAAUAAUUGUAGCUGUUUGGCCCAUUGUUGACGAAAGUGCAGCAUGAAGAAUGAGAGAGAUGUCCCUGAUGAAGUGUUUAUGUGUACAUAUGAUUAUUGUCCUGAAUCGAUUUUUGUUGAUAAACCUUUAAAAAAAAAAAAAUGUAUUGUGUGCUUCAUUAAACUGGUUAAUAGUU